GAUGAAGAACUUAGUGAAAUGCGAUAAGUAAUGUGAAUUGCAGAAUUCAGUGAAUCAUCGAAUCUUUGAACGCACAUUGCGCCCGCCAGUAUUCUGGCGGGCAUGCCUGUUCGAGCGUCAUUUCAACCAUCAAGCCCCAGGCUUGUGUUGGGGACCUGCGGCUGCCGCAGGCCCUGAAAACCAGUGGCGGGCUCGCUGUCACACCGGGCGUAGUAGAUUUUAUCUCGCUCAGGGCGUGCUGCGGGUUCCGGCCGUUAAAAAGCCUUUUUUACCCAAGGUUGACCUCGGAUCAGGUAGGAAGACCCGCUGAACUUAAGCAUAUCAAUAAGCGGAGGA
rnacentral:misc_RNA from 1 species